UUUUUGGAGCGUUAAGGCUACCGUAGCUGUAAUACCUACUUUGAACUGUGUGGUGCGAGAGACUGGAUUGGGAUAUAUGAUCUCAACACUAGAUGGGAGAAGUUCCUACACACUGGACCUUUAACGUGCCAGCGGCCGCUGCUCGGGUUGCUUGGUCCCUUCACUUUUUUGCCGAGGCACAGCGUUGACAGCCCCGGAGAAGGACAACCGGUUACCGGAGUUUGCUGUUUUCUCAGCGGGGAGUAAAACAGACGGGCCGCUGGCUCUUUCUGCCGAUGGCCAUGCAAGCGGAGUGGGGAGGGGCAGAUGAAGCAUGCGCAGACGCUUAAACCGAUCAUAAUCCGGUUAAGGUGUAUACAUGCUGGGAUACCCCUGUUACUGAAGGAGUUCUCUACCUCUGGUCUUUGCUAGCAUGCUGAGCUAAUGGGGAAUGAUGGUGGCGAGAAGGUUGAAGGUCUUAUGUCAUCUGAGCAGCUCCUCCAUCAACAUCUCCCUUUGUGUCCUCCACCUCACCAUCGCCUUCAUGGAGCUCACCAGGUCAAGCAAACUCAGCAGAAUGGACAAGGAGGCAACGGCCAGCAUCAAGUUGAGCAUUAAGGUCUUCUCAGUCGGUCUGGAGAUGUAGCACUCCACGCCAGAUGUGCAGGGCGCCUCGUAACAAAGGAAGCUCCUAGGAAUGGACAAACCAAAGAGAAAAAACUGGCCUGCACCGAAAACCACUUCCACAAGGAUCCGUAGAAUUACAACCAGGAAGUAAGCGCAGUAGAAGCGCGGCGCUCCCCAUUCUCGUUGCAGUUCGUGAAGUGGAGCUUUAUGCAAAGACACUUCUCUUGAGGAGCUGGAGUUCUCACAGCUGAAAGGUGAACCUCCUCGACUCCUGUCGCAGUAGAACCCUCCAAAAUAGGGAUACAACAAAACUUUAUGCACAACAUAGGUUGCAAACAGCACAUGGGGAAGACAGAGAAGAAUGAGGUGGAAAAGCCAGAGAUGGAAGACGGAUACAGGAGCAAAUACAUCGAAACACACAUUGGAGCAGCCUGGCUGGAUGGUGUUGCAGAUAAAUCUGUCCUGCUCGUCACUGAACAGGGUGAAGCCGGCCAGCAGGAGGACGGGCAGACGGAGAACCAGCAUCAACAUCCACCACGCUUUGCCUGUGAUGGAAAAUAAAAUGAUCAAGUAAUUGACUGCUAGAAUAAAUGAAGAUAAAUGAUCCCAGUGGGGUAAUGGUUACAUCGAAGAAGUAAAUAAUAGGAUAUUUAUAAAAUAAUCAAAUGUACCAAACGGGGCCUAAUGAUGAUUAAACAGCAGAAAAGCAAAGUAAUGCUUGAAAAGGAAAUCUAUUACAGAUAUAAAACAUCCAGAUGAUAACAAAAUUACACAGAGUAAAACCCAAAGAUAGACACAUUUACAAUUCUCCACACUUAGUUGAAGUACAUUGUUGUUAAUGCAUUCCUUAAUACCUCAACCUUGAUCACCACUUGGAUUAAGAAAGGCACAGUUCUUACUGCUUUUGUGAUCUGUUGAAGUUUUCAGCUUUUUACAGUUACUGUUUAUUUGUGUUAACAGGUGUGUAAUAUUCAUAUUUAAAAGAAACAUUGCCAUAGUACAAACACGGCUUAAUUUCUAAUAUUGACUACAAAAGAAGAACGUACCCAUAAAGGAGACAUUGUGACUGAUAGUGAUGAAGAGUAGUUCGCUUGCUCCCAUCGUCCUCAUUGUUCGGCGCUAAGCCUGAUCCCAUAAGAAAACGAGCCAAGACCAAGCCAAGAAAAGCCCCUUCAAAACAAAUCCAAACCAGAGACACUGUCUUAAACUGCUGUCCCCUUCAACACUGCUCCACAACUUCACUGCUGACCCUAACAGCUUGCCACUAAAUACAGUCACGUCCAACGUUUUCUUACCCCUCUGCACUCUUGUCUGUGGAAGCCAGGACCUGUGGAGAGAGCUAUUCUUACCAGGCUGCCAUCAAAGCAUUGUUGGGAUAUCGAGGUAAUGGUCAACCUUACUGGAAGCUGACGUUCAUACGUAGGCCAGCUUGUAAUAGACAGUCAUGAACCUACUGUAUGUGGGACAGCUAAAUGGCACUGAGUCAAUCUCUAAGUCACAUUACAUAAAAAACAAAUAACACAAAACAAUAAGCACUUCUAUCCACUUAGGCUGCAACUGCAAUUUCACUUUACAUAAUCAUGUGCAAUGUGAGUACAUUAUUUUAUUAAAUUAUUUCACUAUUUUACUAUUUACUCUAGUUUUCAACUUGUUACCAUCUAUAAGAAAAGAAAAAAAUGCGGCAAC